ACAGGGGAAGCUGGCGGGGGUGGCACGCUUGUCAUUCCCGGCUGCUCCGGAUAGACAGGAGGAUCGCCCCACAAAUUGGAGACUAGCGUGGGCAACACGUUUCCGUGCAGGUCGCCGAGCACAGGGGGUCACUGAGCAGCCCGACUGCUGCUGUCUCCCAUCGGCCUCUUGGUCCAGUACGUCCUGAAGUACAUGGCUGGUGAGGGCUCCUCUGAAAGUGCACCAGAGGCCACAGCCUCCACCCAGGCCCUUGGCUGCCCCAGCUCUGCACUCCCAGAACAAGCUCUGCAGAAGUGACUGGAAGUGCAGGAACCAGGGCUCCAGAGCCACGUGGGACCAGCAGGACACAGCAGCCCCAUUUGUAAUCCCAG